AAAACUUCCGUGGAGAGGAACACCAAUGAGUUGAACCGUCCUCUAAUAUCUGAUAUGUCCUCUAUAAGGGACAACAUAUUAAACGGAUUUUUAGCACCAGGAGCUGAAAAAGGGGCUUGCUCCGUUCACUCCACGCAUCGACCCAGUAUUGCAGCACCUCUGGGAACGGUGCACCCUUC
rnacentral:snRNA from 1 species